AUCGCUUCUCAGCCUGUUGGCCAAGAUCAAAUGUAGUAUCUAUUCUUAUCAGUUUAAUAUCUGAUAUGUUCUCUAUUGGAGAACAAUAUAUUAAAUGAGUUUUGAUAGUGGUCUUUUA
ensembl:snRNA U2 U2 spliceosomal RNA